ACAAUCAACAUCUUUACAUGCAACUAGCAUCAAAAGGACUUUUCCAAGGCUUGUAAUGAGGUUGAGCUAACAAGAAAAAUUGGUUUUUCUGGAAAACAAAAUCCUUGAGUUAAGAGAGCUAUCAUAAUAUUUAACAAUUAAGCACAACUCUCUUUCUCACCAAUCUCACUUAUUCCCAACUUCCCUUUUCUUUUACAUUGAGCUCACUUUCAUGCUUUUCUUCUUUUCUUUCUUUUUAUCAUGCAUUUUUCUUUCUCAACAUUUAAGCUGAAUGCUUCUUAAUAACUUUUCAAUUUCCCCCAUACAACCCCAAACUUGAACCUUUUCAUCGCAUACAAUUAAACUCAUCCCAACUCAAGGUNAAGAAUUUCAAGACAAGGGUUCACAUCCUGUUUAAGUCUAAGGUUCAAAAAGGGUAUAAUAUUUUCAAGCUCUUUGGGUGAAAAUUUGGCUAGAGAAGGGUUUUGAAAAAUGGCCUUGAUCAUAUGGCAUUCACAUGCAAUUUAAUCAAUCAUCGAGAUUAAAGAAAUAUCAUUCAUGCUUUCCUGUGAACAAUUCAUAUAAUCAUAAAAACUCUGGAGCUCAAAACCUCACACAACAUGCUUUCUCACACAACAUUCAUUCAUACAUCCUGCUUAGCAUCAUAACCACAAUCAUAAUUCAUCACACAUCUGUUUCACUGGCUAUCAACAUGCAACACUACUAAAUUAUUAAUCACCUCAAAUUAUCAUCAAAUAAGUUCAUCAUGCAAAUUAGUCAGUCAAACAUCUUCAAAAAAGUAUUUAGGCCAAGCACACACACUGAAAGAAUACUAGGUUGCCUCCUAGUAGCGCUUGUUUAAUGUCACGAGCCUGACCCAAACUUGUUUAGCACUUGUCAGUAAGUGCAAAACCUUCCAACACCCAUUAGUAGGUGUGCCUUCCUGGAAUCCUUUAGUGGAUUCACAAAUCUUCUAGCAUGCCUCAAUAGAUGCUAAUCAUUACUGCCAUCAGAAGCAGCGCAUAACCAAAAAUAAUAUAUAAAUAAAUAAAUAAAAUAAAAUAAAAUCAAAUAAAAUAAAAUAAAAUAAAAUCAAAUCAAAUAAAAUCAAAUCAAAACGAAAUAAAAGAUAAAAAAAAUUCAGAAACUGGGUUGCCUCCCAGCAAGUGCUCUUUUAACGUCAUUAGCUUGACCCGGUAGAGUUCAAAUGCCUAUCAAUAGGUGUUGAUACUCCCUUUUACUUGUUAUUCUUUUCUUUUUCUUCUUUCUACUGAAUUUCUUCAGAAAAUUAAGAACACCAAGCACUUGUUUUCAUGUUUCAAUCAUAGGAACUUUAGUCUCCAAUUUCUUGAAGAUGGCCAACUUGAACUUAUUUCCCUUCCUAUGAUUUUUCUUUUUAUGAGGAAGAUGUUUUUCAUGUGAUCUUUUCUUCUUUCCUCUCUUCCUCUUUUUCUCAACCUUCUCCUUCUUCCACUUUCUUUUUUUCUUUUUUCUUAUUUUCUUAUUUUUUUUCUUUUUUCUCAACCACUGCUUUUUCUUUCUUCUCAUCUUUCUCUCCCUCACUCAACCUUUCUACUUCAUCUUCCUCUAUUUUCUCCUCUUCUAUCUUUUCCCAUUCUCUCUCUACCUUCUCCUCAUCAACAACCUCAUCAAUUUGUGUCUCCAAAUUCCUGAAGGUAACUUCAUAUCUCUUGGAAGUACACCUCUCUAGAAAUUUGUCGAACCUUUCAUUACAACUUUUAACUUGUUCCGUCACAUCAGCUACCUGUUGGCAAAGUUGUUGAUCAUACUCCCAUGUUUCUAUUGGUGAAGAGUAUUGUUGCUGCCACUGAUAUUAUUGCUUUUCUUCCAUGCUUCAGUGAGAAGAAAAUCUUGUAUCCAUGUCUUGUGGCAAGAAUUCAUCAUUCUUUACAGUCUCCUCUAUGCCUUUGACAUGGUACAUUACUAAAUUCAUAAUUCUCUGAAAAAUUUCAUCAGAUUCUACACUUCUUUGUAUAGGCAUGAAAUGAGGCUCAACAGCUUGUCCAUAUCGACUUUGAUCCAUGUAUGAGUGAGGUUCCCACCAGUGAUUUAAAUUAUUUUGGUAGGAUUGAGUGCCCGUAUAAUCAAAUCCUUGUCCGUACUACAUGCUGUAAACAUUAAGCACAAAACCCUAGAAAACAUUUAUUAGAACAAAAAUGAAAAUAAACAUAAAAUCAAGCCAAAUUCAAUUAAUUCACACUACUUGAAAAAGUAAACCUCGAGUCCCCGGCAACGGCGCCAAAAACUUGUUAACAGAUUGGCAAGCGUACCAAAUCGUAUCAAGUAAUAAAUAAAUGGUAAGUCCAAGUAUCAUUUUCCCAAGAGACUCGAAAGGCCUUAUCGUUCGUGUGAAUUAAGAUCGUAAGACUUGAAAAUAAAAAUUAAUUAAUUGGGUAUGAGAACAAAAUAUAAACAUGCAAAAGAGAUUGAUUCAAUUAACGAGAAGAAAACGAUGGAUGAAUGGAGUUGUUGGGGGUUGACAAUUUCAUCUAAUUUGCUCCCUCUUAUCUACUCCUCUUGUUUAAUGUGCUUGAUUAUCUAAUUGUUAUGCAAACUUUCUUGGCCUACCCUUAACCCGAUCCCUCGGUGAAAAGAGCCUAUUACUAAUUACUGGUUUGCUAUCCCUAGCCUCCCCUAGCAAUUAAUAAAGCAUUAUAGAGCAGAAGUGAAAAACAAUUGAUCGUCCUACCCCUAUCCCUAGGUGGUAUUGAUUAAUCAAGAAAUUACUCACCAGGUCAUGACAUUACUGUACGUCCCCGUAUCAAUAAAGACAAACAACAAUUAUCGAAUGAGUUAAACGAUAAAAGCAUUAAGCACAGAUGAGAACCCAACAAUUAAUAAUCAAAGCAUAUGGAAACCAUAUAAAUAAACAA
rnacentral:lncRNA from 1 species